rnacentral:rRNA from 1 species
UCCGUAGGGGGCGAGCGUUGUCCGGAUUCAUUGGGCGUAAAGAGCUCGUAGGCGGUUCGGCAAGUCGGGUGUGAAAACUCCAGGCUCAACCUGGAGACGCCACCCGAUACUGCUGUGACUCGAGUCCGGUAGGGGACCACGGAAUUCCUGGUGUAGCGGUGAAAUGCGCAGAUAUCAGGAGGAACACCGGUGGCGAAGGCGGUGGUCUGGGCCGGAACUGACGCUGAGGAGCGAAAGCGUGGGGAGCGAACAGG